rnacentral:rRNA from 1 species
UGCGGAAGGGAUCAUUU